AGUGAGAGUGGGGGGGGGUGUUUAACCAUGGCCAUUUUUCAAUUCAUACAAUUCAAGGAGCCACUUUGCCUUACUGGAGGUAUAGGCUAUCUUGAAUUUUUUGGCCAUGUUCACUCGCUUUAGGUGGAAAUAAGAUGAAGAGGAAGUGAGUAACUAUUUCUUUCUGCCUGUAUAACUUUUUUAAAAAUUUCAAAUUUCUAGGUGAAUUUUAUCUGGAGUAAAUAUUCCCUUUAUAAAGCUCAAGUUGAUGUUGUAGGUGGCCUCCUAAAAUGCACUUUUCAUUUUAUAACUGUGCAUGCCUUGGCUCCAUGCCCGACCUCCCAGGUUACAAACAUUAACAGUAAACCCUACUCAAGGACAUAACACCUCUCUCAACAACAACCCCCAGAAAACAGCACUCAUGUUACUAAUAAGUUACCCAGCAGUGUUCACAUUGGACACUAAUAACCCACCAGGCUAAUAGAGGCUCAGUCCUUAAAACCCACCCCACUAUUUACAAAGAUAUUUUCUCUUUCCCAAGUUGCAAAUGAAAAGCAAUGAUGUUUUCUGUUACUACAAAGGAGAGGCGUUAGGGAUUGUCUACUUGUUUGAUUUUAUUGUUGUUGUUGUUGUUCAAUGUAAAGAUUUAAAAAUAAGGGCAAAUCAGGCACCUUUCAUCCCACACUCAGGCAAGAGGAUAUCUAUCUGACGUAAAGGCCAGCCUGGUUUACAUAAGGAGACCCUGUCUCAAACAAACAAAUUAAAUAAGGACAACACACCUGUAUGCAGAGUAUCAACUGUAUUUGAGAAAAGCAUCUGUUUUGAAAGCCAAUUAUAUACUAAAUAAUACAUUAAGCCAUCUAAAAUUAUCAUACCAAAUGCAGAAUGACUAAGUCUGACUAAGAUUUCUGUAAAAUUUAGAAUGACCAUAACUCAGAUGUUCUAUAUAAGAAGGUAAGAGCUUGGGGUCAUCGCCUGAGGACUUGAUUAAGCAGGAAUAAGACAGAACAGAAAGAGGCCAGGAAGACAGCAUUAGGGAAGGGUGAGCCCCAGGCAGGAAGUUCCGCUCUGGAUGGAAGGAAAGGCCCACACGGGGGCAGAGGGUUUGGAUCAGGUGGUGAUUUUCUAAUUCUGUUUUGAAGAGUGUCGUCCCCCGUCCCCCCCCCUCCCCCGCAGAGGCUGGUCAGCAAGGGACUGGGGUCGCCAGCUAGUGACCUCCUGGAGCAUGGCGGUGCAGCAGGUCCAUUAGAAACUAGCCUGCCAGUGCACAGGAGCAUAUGGAGACUAGCCAGAGUGUCAGCCGGAUGCCAUGAGCCCAGUGUGUUACUGGCUGUGCGAUUUUUGUUGUUGUUUCUAUUUUGUGUGUGUGUCACAGAGAAAGUGUGGAGGUGAGAGGAUACCUUGUUGAUGUCAUCUCUCUCCUACCAUUUAGGUUCUGGUAUUGAAUUCAGGUCAUCGGGCUUGGUGACCAACACCUGUAUCUGUUAAGCUAUCUUUCUGGCCCUGAAUACGAGAUUGAAAAGAAAGCAGGAAAAUGGGUGCAUCUGCUCUCACCAAGAAGAGCCAACAGGCCUGGGAACAGAUUGUAUGGUCCAGGGGCAGGAGGUGACAGAUCCAGAGAGAGAGACCAAGACUGCUGCACUGAGCUCCAGUCUGUUAUGUAGCAGUGUGAAAGAUACUGUCGUGACGGUGUGCAAGACCUAAGGAGAAAUACAGAGUGGGUUAAAUGUGUGUAUGUGGCUAUGGAAAAUACCACUGUGCCUGGUAAUUUACACACCGAUGCCUCGAGUGCACAGUGAGGUUCAGCACAUGGCGACGCUGGGAAUCCAGUUCUCUUUUAUACUUGGAUAGUUGUUUUUAUUCAGCUUUGUAGGAGAUUUGCUGUUAAACUAAAAGUCCUGGGCUCUGUGGCAGGGCUAAAAAUCCCAGAACCAGAGACUGAGAGUCAAUGCUUCUGGUAGGUGGCAAUUACAGGGUUCUGUUGCUGGGCGAGGCAGAGAUUCUCAGGGGUGUGGCUUCCAGUUGCUGAAGAUAAAAUCCCCAGCAAGAGAGAACUUGCCAUUUCUCUUCUGACCUGGGGACAUAAAGCCACAAACUCAGGCCUAAGGAAACCACCAGGAAAGCACCGUCUCAAAAUAAAUACAUAUAAAAUAAAAGCUAUGAGCGAGCUAAAAAUAGAGAUGUAAAUAUUUACUCAGUGAGAGAAAGAUUCAUCAGCCGGGACUAGGGCUCAGUGAUGGAGCACUUGCAAAAGGUCUCAGGCUCAAUCGGCAGUACCACAAGAG